ensembl:snoRNA
AUCCUUUGGUAGUUCAUAAGCGUGAUGAUUGGGUGUUCACGCUGUUGUGUGACAUGUGCCUCCCUCCAACCUUGUUACAACCUCGGCACAUUACCCAUCUGACG